GUGACUGCGUACCUUUUGUAUAAUGGGUCAGCGACUUAUAUUCUGUAGCAAGGUUAACCGAAUAGGGGAGCCGAAGGGAAACCGAGUCUUAACUGGGCGUUAAGUUGCAGGGUAUAGACCCGAAACCCGGUGAUCUAGCCAUGGGCAGGUUGAAGGUUGGGUAACACUAACUGGAGGACCGAACCGACUAAUGUUGAAAAAUUAGCGGAUGACUUGUGGCUGGGGGUGAAAGGCCAAUCAAACCGGGAGAUAGCUGGUUCUCCCCGAAAGCUAUUUAGGUAGCGCCUCGUGAAUUCAUCUCCGGGGGUAGAGCACUGUUUCGGCAAGGGGGUCAUCCCGACUUACCAACCCGAUGCAAACUGCGAAUACCGGAGAAUGUUAUCACGGGAGACACACGGCGGGUGCUAACGUCCGUCGUGAAGAGGGAAACAACCCAGACCGCCAGCUAAGGUCCCAAAGUCAUGGUUAAGUGGGAAACGAUGUGGGAAGGCCCAGACAGCCAGGAUGUUGGCUUAGAAGCAGCCAUCAUUUAAAGAAAGCGUAAUAGCUCACUGGUCGAGUCGGCCUGCGCGGAAGAUGUAACGGGGCUAAACCAUGCACCGAAGCUGCGGCAGCGACACUAUGUGUUGUUGGGUAGGGGAGCGUUCUGUAAGCCUGUGAAGGUGUACUGUGAGGUAUGCUGGAGGUAUCAGAAGUGCGAAUGCUGACAUAAGUAACGAUAAAGCGGGUGAAAAGCCCGCUCGCCGGAAGACCAAGGGUUCCUGUCCAACGUUAAUCGGGGCAGGGUGAGUCGACCCCUAAGGCGAGGCCGAAAGGCGUAGUCGAUGGGAAACAGGUUAAUAUUCCUGUACUUGGUGUUACUGCGAAGGGGGGACGGAGAAGGCUAUGUUGGCCGGGCGACGGUUGUCCCGGUUUAAGCGUGUAGGCUGGUUUUCCAGGCAAAUCCGGAAAAUCAAGGCUGAGGCGUGAUGACGAGGCACUACGGUGCUGAAGCAACAAAUGCCCUGCUUCCAGGAAAAGCCUCUAAGCAUCAGGUAACAUCAAAUCGUACCCCAAACCGACACAGGUGGUCAGGUAGAGAAUACCAAGGCGCUUGAGAGAACUCGGGUGAAGGAACUAGGCAAAAUGGUGCCGUAACUUCGGGAGAAGGCACGCUGAUAUGUAGGUGAAGCGACUUGCUCGUGGAGCUGAAAUCAGUCGAAGAUACCAGCUGGCUGCAACUGUUUAUUAAAAACACAGCACUGUGCAAACACGAAAGUGGACGUAUACGGUGUGACGCCUGCCCGGUGCCGGAAGGUUAAUUGAUGGGGUUAGCGGUAACGCGAAGCUCUUGAUCGAAGCCCCGGUAAACGGCGGCCGUAACUAUAACGGUCCUAAGGUAGCGAAAUUCCUUGUCGGGUAAGUUCCGACCUGCACGAAUGGCGUAAUGAUGGCCAGGCUGUCUCCACCCGAGACUCAGUGAAAUUGAACUCGCUGUGAAGAUGCAGUGUACCCGCGGCAAGACGGAAAGACCCCGUGAACCUUUACUAUAGCUUGACACUGAACAUUGAGCCUUGAUGUGUAGGAUAGGUG
rnacentral:rRNA from 1 species